GACGAACCGUGCGAACGUUAUUCGGAAUCACUGGGCUUAAAGCGCGUGUAGGCGGCUAUGUAAGUCGGGCGUGAAAUCCCACAGCUCAACCGUGGAAGUGCACUCGAAACUGCAUAGCUAGAGUCCUGGAGAGGAAGGUGGAAUGCUUGGUGUAGAGGUGAAAUUCGUAGAUAUCAAGCGGAACACCGGUGGCGAAGGCGGCCUUCUGGACAGUGACUGACGCUGAGACGCGAAAGCGUGGGGAGCAAACAGG
rnacentral:rRNA from 1 species